CACGGCGCACGGGUGCGUAACACGUGGGUAACCUGCCCUGCAAUGGGGGAUAACCCGCCGAAAGGCGGGCUAAUACCGCAUAAAAUUCCGGAGGCGAGUGCCGCUGGAAUCAAAGGCCGCAAGGCCGCGACUGGAGGGGCCCGCGCCCGAUUAGCUAGUUGGCGAGGUAAUGGCUCACCAAGGCUAUGAUCGGUAGCCGGUCUGAGAGGAUGGCCGGCCACACUGGAACUGCGACACGGUCCAGACUCCUACGGGAGGCAGCAGUGGGGAAUCUUGCGCAAUGGGCGAAAGCCUGACGCAGCAACGCCGCGUGGGGGAUGAAGCUUCUCGGAGUGUAAACCCCUUUCGACCCGGAAGAAUGUCCCGCAAGGGAUUGACGGUACGGGUAGAAGAAGCCCCGGCUAACUACGUGCCAGCAGCCGCGGUAAAACGUAGGGGGCCAGCGUUGCUCGGAAUUACUGGGCGUAAAGGGUCCGUAGGCGGUGCGGUAAGUCGGAAGUGAAAUCUCAGGGCUUAACCCUGGGGCUGCUCCCGAAACUGCCGUGCUCGAGUGCGAGAGAGGCGAGUGGAAUUGCGGGUGUAGCGGUGAAAUGCGUAGAUAUCCGCAGGAACAUCCGAGGCGAAAGCGGCUCGCUGGAUCGCAACUGACGCUGAGGGACGAAAGCUAGGGGAGCAAACAGGAUUAGAUACCCUGGUAGUCCUAGCCCUAAACGAUCAGGACUUGGGGUGUGCCCUGUACGGGGCUCGUCCCGGAGCUAACGCGUUAAGUCCUGCGCCUGGGGAGUACGGUCGCAAGGCCGAAACUCAAAGGAAUUGACGGGGGCCCGCACAAGCGGUGGAACAUGUGGUUCAAUUCGA
rnacentral:rRNA from 1 species